UACGUAGGGUGCAAGCGUUAUCCGGAAUGAUUGGGCGUAAAGCGCGUGUAGGCGGUUCGGUAAGUCUGCUGUGAAAGUCCAGGGCUCAACCUGGGAACUGCAUUCAAAACUGACGAGCUAGAGUAUGGUAGAGGGUAGUGGAAUUCCCGGUGUAGCGGUGAAAUGCGUAGAGAUCGGGAGGAACACCAGUGGCGAAGGCGGCUACCUGGACCAGCACUGACACUGAGGCACGAAAGCGUGGGGAGCAAACAGG
rnacentral:rRNA from 1 species